AUGUUGUAGGGUAUGAGCUCAAAUCUUACCAAGUGCAAUUAUUCUCAUUUCCUCAGUUGGUGGUUAUGUGUCACACAUCGUUCAUCCUGACAAGGCACUACCACUUUGUUGAACUUGCUGCCUCUUCAAGCAGUCUUAGGCAGUUGGGAUCUCGUUAAAGUCAGGAGAUAAAACAUCAAUCAAGAACAAUAUCGGAUGUGUAGAGGGGUUCGCCAACUUCGGACGGACGAUACUUCAAAAACUUAUCCCAAAAGAGAUAUAAAUCCUUCAACCAAAGAAAAUAUAUUAUUUAAAUUAUUUUAGUAUUAUAUUGCAAAUUUGUGCUUCUCAAUUUUUUUUUCCUUCAAGGAAAUGAAUUUUGCAAAAUAAAAUGGGUAAAAUACACAUAUAUAAAUUUAUGCUUUAGAAAAAUUCAUUUCACCUUAAAAAAAUCAUUUUAAUCCAAAUUUGGUUCAUAGUUCUUAUUAUAAAAAUUUCUCAUAAAUUUGCUCAAAAUUGAUGACGUGGACUCGUUUAGUGUGUGCUUGAUUAGGUGGAAAAUGGAGAGAUAAAAAGGAUGGUGUAAAAAAGUGGAAAGAAAAUAAAUUUUGAAUAUGUUUGGUAGUGAAUAAUAGUAAAAGAAAAUAAGAGAAACGAAUAUUUUUCAUCAUAAUGCAUAAAAAUCAAUCCUUACAAGUUAGAAAUAUGAGGGUAGAGAAAAUCAGAAAGGGGUGUUAUUUUCUUUCCCUUCUAUUUUUCAACUCUACCAAGCAAUGGACAAAAAAAUAAUAAUGGACACUUGGCAUCUCGAGAGAACACCAGAAAGAUACCUAUAAAUAGUUUCC
rnacentral:lncRNA from 1 species